rnacentral:rRNA from 1 species
CGCGGUGAAUACGUUCCCGGACCUUGUACACACCGCCCGUCAAGCCAUGGGAGCCGGGUGUACCUAAAGACGAUAACCGUAAGGAGUCGUCCAAGGUAAAACUGGUGACUGGGGCU